UGACGGUAGCGUGGGGCUUAGCCUCAA
rnacentral:sRNA from 1 species